CCUACGGGUGGCUGCAGUGGGGAAUAUUGGACAAUGGGGGCAACCCUGAUCCAGCCACGCCGCGUGUGUGAAGAAGGCCCUCGGGUUGUAAAGCACUUUCAGUGAGGAAGAACGCCUGGUGGUUAAUACCCAUCAGGAAAGACAUCACUCACAGAAGAAGCACCGGCUAACUCCGUGCCAGCAGCCGCGGUAAUACGGAGGGUGCGAGCGUUAAUCGGAAUUACUGGGCGUAAAGCGCGCGUAGGUGGCUUGAUAAGCCGGUUGUGAAAGCCCCGGGCUCAACCUGGGAACGGCAUCCGGAACUGUCAAGCUAGAGUGCAGGAGAGGAAGGUAGAAUUCCCGGUGUAGCGGUGAAAUGCGUAGAGAUCGGGAGGAAUACCAGUGGCGAAGGCGGCCUUCUGGACUGACACUGACACUGAGGUGCGAAAGCGUGGGUAGCAAACAGGAUUAGAUACCCUAGUAGUC
rnacentral:rRNA from 1 species